GAUGAACGCUGGCGGCGUGCCUAAUACAUGCAAGUCGAGCGAACAGACGAGGAGCUUGCUCCUCUGACGUUAGCGGCGGACGGGUGGGUAACACGUGGAUAACCUACCUAUAAGACUGGGAUAACUUCGGGAAACCGGAGCUAAUACCGGAUAAUAUAUUGAACCGCAUGGUUCAAUAGUGAAAGACGGUUUUGCUGUCACUUAUAGAUGGAUCCGCGCCGCAUUAGCUAGUUGGUAAGGUAACGGCUUACCAAGGCAACGAUGCGUAGCCGACCUGAGAGGGUGAUCGGCCACACUGGAACUGAGACACGGUCCAGACUCCUACGGGAGGCAGCAGUGGGGAAUCUUCCGCAAUGGGCGAAAGCCUGACGGAGCAACGCCGCGUGAGUGAUGAAGGUCUUCGGAUCGUAAAACUCUGUUAUUAGGGAAGAACAAAUGUGUAAGUAACUAUGCACGUCUUGACGGUACCUAAUCAGAAAGCCACGGCUAACUACGUG
rnacentral:rRNA from 1 species